UGAGUAACCUGCCCUUAACUCUGGGAUAAGCCUGGGAAACUGGGUCUAAUACCGGAUAUGACUCCUCAUCGCAUGGUGGGGGGUGGAAAGCUUUAUUGUGGUUUUGGAUGGACUCGCGGCCUAUCAGCUUGUUGGUGAGGUAAUGGCUCACCAAGGCGACGACGGGUAGCCGGCCUGAGAGGGUGACCGGCCACACUGGGACUGAGAUACGGCCCAGACUCCGUACGGGAGCAG
rnacentral:rRNA from 1 species